CUCAGUUCGGAUUGUAGGCUGAAACUCGCCUACAUGAAGUCGGAAUCGCUAGUAAUCGCGGAUCAGCACGCCGCGGUGAAUACGUUCCCGGGCCUUGUACACACCGCCCGUCACACCAUGGGAGUCGGUAACACCCGAAGCCUGUAGUCUAACCGCAAGGAGGACGCAGUCGAAGGUGGGGAUUGAUGACUGGGGCGAAGUCGUAACAAGGUACC
rnacentral:rRNA from 1 species